rnacentral:lncRNA from 1 species
CCCCAACCUAAUCCUAAAAUCUCUCAGCAAUCACUUCCUCCCUCUUUCUCUUUCUCUCUCUCCCUCCAAUCUGCUUUGUGUGUGCAUUCUUUGCUUUGUGUGUGUGGAGAAGGUGCUUCACAUCUGAGCAACAACUUAAUUAUUAAUUACUAUCAUCAAAUUUUAAAUUUUCAACGUUUCUCAUCAAACUCAUCUUCCUCAUAUAAUCCCUAAUUUCUCUCACACUCUCUGUAAUCAUCCAAAUCAAAUCUUCCAACAAUCCACAACCGCACACCGUCACAAACCACCACAAACACAUGGCCGAUGAAGCCAAAGCCAAAGGCAACGCCGCCUUCUCCGCCGGAAACUUCACAGACGCCAUCAAACACUUCAUUGACGCCGGAAACUUCACGGAUCUGUAACCGUCAUCUUGAAUCAGAUCUGUAACCGAUUUAUCUAGUUAAACUGAACGGAACUCAUUCGGAUCUGUAACCGUCAUCGAUCUAUGAUUCAUCACGCCGGCGGUUGUGUUUCUAUUGUUGAUUGAUUGCGACCCACGUUGGAGACGACAUCCAUGCCGGAGAAAUUGGCACCGUCUGCGGUGGCGAAUUAAAAGAAUUUUACUCGUUGAACUGUAUGUGGUUGUUGAACUGUAUGUGGUUGUUGAACUGUUCGAUUCUGGGUGAUAAGGGUUUCUCAUUGAGGGUUUCAAUUGGGCAUCUAUUGUGCGAGGGAGUUCUCUAG